rnacentral:rRNA from 1 species
GCGAAUACCGGAGAAUGUUAUCACGGGAGACACACGGCGGGUGCUAACGUCCGUCGUGAAGAGGGAAACAACCCAGACCGCCAGCUAAGGUCCCAAAGUCAUGGUUAAGUGGGAAACGAUGUGGGAAGGCCCAGACAGCCAGGAUGUUGGCUUAGAAGCAGCCAUCAUUUAAAGAAAGCGUAAUAGCUCACUGGUCGAGUCGGCCUGCGCGGAAGAUGUAACGGGGCUAAACCAUGCACCGAAGCUGCGGCAGCGACACUGUGUGUUGUUGGGUAGGGGAGCGUUCUGUAAGCCUGUGAAGGUGGCCUGUGAGGGUUGCUGGAGGUAUCAGAAGUGCGAAUGCUGACAUAAGUAACGAUAAAGCGGGUGAAAAGCCCGCUCGCCGGAAGACCAAGGGUUCCUGUCCAACGUUAAUCGGGGCAGGGUGAGUCGACCCCUAAGGCGAGGCCGAAAGGCGUAGUCGAUGGGAAACGGGUUAAUAUUCCCGUACUUGGUGUUACUGCGAAGGGGGGACGGAGAAGGCUAUGUUGGCCGGGCGACGGUUGUCCCGGUUUAAGCGUGUAGGUGUGUGUUCCAGGUAAAUCCGGUUCACUUUAACACUGAGGCGUGACGACGAGGCACUACGGUGCUGAAGCAACAAAUGCCCUGCUUCCAGGAAAAGCCUCUAAGCAUCAGGUAACAUCAAAUCGUACCCCAAACCGACACAGGUGGUCAGGUAGAGAAUACCAAGGCGCUUGAGAGAACUCGGGUGAAGGAACUAGGCAAAAUGGUGCCGUAACUUCGGGAGAAGGCACGCUGACACGUAGGUGAAGUGAUUUACUCACGGAGCUGAAGUCAGUCGAAGAUACCAGCUGGCUGCAACUGUUUAUUAAAAACACAGCACUGUGCAAACACGAAAGUGGACGUAUACGGUGUGACGCCUGCCCGGUGCCGGAAGGUUAAUUGAUGGGGUCAGCGCAAGCGAAGCUCCUGAUCGAAGCCCCGGUAAACGGCGGCCGUAACUAUAACGGUCCUAAGGUAGCGAAAUUCCUUGUCGGGUAAGUUCCGACCUGCACGAAUGGCGUAAUGAUGGCCAGGCUGUCUCCACCCGAGACUCAGUGAAAUUGAACUCGCUGUGAAGAUGCAGUGUACCCGCGGCAAGACGGAAAGACCCCGUGAACCUUUACUAUAGCUUGACACUGAACAUUGAGCCUUGAUGUGUAGGAUAGGUGGGAGGCUUUGAAGCGUGGACGCCAGUCUGCGUGGAGCCGACCUUGAAAUACCACCCUUUAAUGUUUGAUGUUCUAACGUGGACCCGUGAUCCGGGUUGCGGACAGUGUCUGGUGGGUAGUUUGACUGGGGCGGUCUCCUCCUAAAGAGUAACGGAGGAGCACGAAGGUUGGCUAAUCCUGGUCGGACAUCAGGAGGUUAGUGCAAUGGCAUAAGCCAGCUUGACUGCGAGCGUGACGGCGCGAGCAGGUGCGAAAGCAGGUCAUAGUGAUCCGGUGGUUCUGAAUGGAAGGGCCAUCGCUCAACGGAUAAAAGGUACUCCGGGGAUAACAGGCUGAUACCGCCCAAGAGUUCAUAUCGACGGCGGUGUUUGGCACCUCGAUGUCGGCUCAUCACAUCCUGGGGCUGAAGUAGGUCCCAAGGGUAUGGCUGUUCGCCAUUUAAAGUGGUACGCGAGCUGGGUUUAGAACGUCGUGAGACAGUUCGGUCCCUAUCUGCCGUGGGCGCUGGAGAACUGAGGGGGGCUGCUCCUAGUACGAGAGGACCGGAGUGGACGCAUCACUGGUGUUCGGGUUGUCAUGCCAAUGGCACUGCCCGGUAGCUAAAUGCGGAAGAGAUAAGUGCUGAAAGCAUCUAAGCACGAAACUUGCCCCGAGAUGAGUUCUCCCUGAGACUUAAAGUCUCCUGAAGGAACGUUGAAGACGACGACGUUGAUAGGCCGGGUGUGUAAGCGCAGCGAUGCGUUGAGCUAACCGGUACUAAUGAACCGUGAGGCUUAACCUUAC